rnacentral:snRNA from 1 species
ACAUCACAGGCGAUACUAUGAUCAAGAAGGUGGUUCAUCAGGGCUAGGCUCAGACACUGCACACUGGUUGUGCUGAUCGCUGUCAAUUCCUUAUUUGUUGUAAUAUUUCAACUGAAUAAUUUGUGGUAGUGGUGCUCUCCUC